ACUGCUCAGUAACACGUGGAUAACCUGCCCUUGGGACCGGCAUAACCCCGGGAAACUGGGGAUAAUUCCGGAUAACGCAUAUAUGCUGGAAUGCUUUAUGCGUAAAAUGGAUUCGUCUGCCCAAGGAUGGGUCUGCGGCCUAUCAGGUAGUAGUGGGUGUAAUGGACCUACUAGCCUACAACGGGUACGGGUUGUGAGAGCAAGAGCCCGGAGAUGGAUUCUGAGACAUGAAUCCAGGCCCUACGGGGCGCAGCAGGCGCGAAAACUUUACAAUGCGGGAAACCGUGAUAAGGGGACACCGAGUGCCAGCAUCAUAUGCUGGCUGUCCAGGUGUGUAAAAUACACCUGUUAGCAAGGGCCGGGCAAGACCGGUGCCAGCCGCCGCGGUAACACCGGCGGCCCGAGUGGUGAUCGUGAUUAUUGGGUCUAAAGGGUCCGUAGCCGGUUUGGUCAGUCCUCCGGGAAAUCUGACAGCUCAACUGUUAGGCUUUCGGGGGAUACUGCCAGACUUGGAACCGGGAGAGGUAAGAGGUACUACAGGGGUAGGAGUGAAAUCUUGUAAUCCCUGUGGGACCACCUGUGGCGAAGGCGUCUUACCAGAACGGGUUCGACGGUGAGGGACGAAAGCUGGGGGCACGAACCGGAUUAGAUACCCGGGUAGUCCCAGCCGUAAACGAUGCUCGCUAGGUGUCAGGCAUGGCGCGACCGUGUCUGGUGCCGCAGGGAAGCCGUGAAGCGAGCCACCUGGGAAGUACGGCCGCAAGGCUGAAACUUAAAGGAAUUGGCGGGGGAGCAC
rnacentral:rRNA from 1 species